UCAAGUUUGGUAUCACUCAGUGUUCAUUCAGUAGGCACUGGAUUUGCACACUCAAUUCAGAGCUUGAGAGUGGAGUUCUCAGAGAGGCUGUGGGAGGGCUGGGCAGAACGGCAGAGGACCAACCGAGCCAGGAAUUAGAUGGCAGUAUUGCUGCCCUCCACAGGGUCUGUCUUUUGAGAAUCUCAGUUCUCGACUAGAUGGGGGUAUCUGGGAAGCCCUAGAGCGUGAAGACCCUUAUGGGUUUGGUCCUGGCACUUACUUUUAAACCUUCCAGGGAGGGCCAAAGAUUAGCACCUGGAUUCUGACCCCCCAGGAAAUGCCAGGACUGCGUUUACUAGCUGGGAGAAAUCCAAGAGAAUUCUGUAAUGUCGCUAACCCUGUUCCUUAUCUCUUAUCUUGGAUUACUGCAAGAAUCUUCGACUGUUCCCUCCCCAGCCGGCUCUUCCUGGGAGUGCUCAAGGAGAGUGAAGGGGAGGAGGAGUUCCUUCCACCCGGUACCCCCUAAGGAUGCCACGUCUGGGGCUCCCCAUUUUGGUGCAGGCUACCUAGUCCCUUCUAAGACACACCCCGAGACAGACUCACCUGAAAAGAAUUUCUCGCCUAGCCCGUGCUGAGGACUGGCAGAGCCGGUUCUGGAUCCCCUGUUGCCCCCCAACUCCCGUUUCCAGCUACUAGAACGAUUAUUACUAUUUUUUUAAUCCAGUUUUUAUCCAGCUGCGGGACCCAACCGCUCCAUCUCUUUCUACCCCGCAGCACUGUGGCUGGCCCCAAAGGUAUAGCUCCCCUCUUGGGCCCCGGGCCCCGUUUCCUUCCUUUCUAGACAGUUUGGGAGCUUUGUGAACCUGUGACUCGCGCGCGCGCGCGCGCGCGUGCGGGUGUGUAUGUCCCCUUCUGUGAACCUUCCAGUGUCCGGAACCGCCACCUGCUCCAGAAUGCUGGUACUUCAGAGCAAAAUGCCUGGUCCCAUUUCCUCACCUCCCACUCAUGCUUCAACCCACCAGAAGAUUUCUGUCCCUGCUGUGCUACAAGAAAAGCCUUGUCAAGGUAACUCUGAUCUCCACGAUGCUAAAUCCCACACAGUAAUAAAUCCGUGACCUCCUGAAACAGCUGUCACAGAGUCCCGCCUUUCUUCUUGAAGCACCUUCCACCCCCAGCUUCCUUGACACCCAUCUCAUUUCCUGGUCCCUGGGAUACCUUCCAUCAGGCCUGUACUGUGGGUGCUCUGGGCCAGGCCCAGCAUCUCCUGUCCCAGAAUAACCUGUACAUGUUCAAGUAUGAGGAGACUUCCUAUAACCCAUGGAGGGUGCCGUGUGUGCUGCUGUGGGCUUUGUUCCUGCCGGGAGACGGAGUGCUCUCUUUUGCCGUUUUUAAAGAGGCUCGGUGACUCUCAGCUGGCUUCCCUGUACUCGGCAUCUUCUCAUGCCUGCCCUCCGUUUUUGUACAGAUCCAUCUCAUCAGCCUCAGAUCACCAUCUACCACUGAGGCCCAGUGAAGCCAGCCUUCCUACGCCCAGUGAGAUGACCCUGGAAACAGACUGAUGCCAACCUGAAUAUAUGAACUUCUGGUGUGAUGUGAAUGAAAAUAUAUCUUGUUCACUGAGUUUGCUAUA